ensembl:lncRNA
GUGAGGGGGUGGGAGGCGGGGGGCUUCACAAACUAAUGUGCUGCUGGCCUGUGAGUCAAACUUCAGGCUUUGGAAAGUUCAGUUUUGCUUCAACUAUGCAGGAAAGAAAAUGGGCUUCCUCAUCGAGACCAGGAAAAACUGGACUCCAUGUUGGCAGACUGACGAAAGGCUACACCAACCACCUAGAAUUGUUUGCCUUUUACGAGGUCUCUCAGGUGUCUUGCUUGACAUAAGCCUGUGUGUGGAAGCUGAAAUGUUUCAACCAAAUGGACAAAAGCAGCAAGGCACAGAAAACUGUCAAAAGAUCAGGAAGAGCCUUCUUAAGGACAUACUUGACAGCUAUCUUCAGUGCUGGGCCAGAAAUACUGUGCUGCAUCUACUGGGUCAUGCAGAGAAGGCAGCCUUGGUUAGCCUGACAAAAAAGCCAUGACAAGAGCAUGAACUCACUAGAUAUCAUUUCUGAUUACAAUCAAGUCCAGAAGCUACAGUGACGAAACAAAUGGAAAGGAUCUGAGAAGAGGAACGAGGAGGUUUUCACAUCUGUGAUCUCUUGGAAGACACAUGGCUUGGGUCCCUGCCUGUUCUUUGAGGAUGGCAAUUUCAGAACUGAUGAGGUCUUUACGGGCUUUAUCUUCAUCAGUAUACUAUGGUUUAGUUUUUUAAAAAUUAAGAGAAAAACAAAUUUGGAUCUUUAAUGGAUAAUACUACCUAUACAAGAACAGUAUAUGAGAGAUGGCCAGUGUGGUCAGAGACAUGAUCAGCUGUUCGAUUAGAAUUCUGAACUGGGCUCCUACUUGGGAAGUGAUUCCCUAGAAACACAGAGAAAAACCAGCCAACCACUGCAGCCCUCCCAGCAACAAACUGUAGUUUCUGUCCCAAACGCAAAUGAAAUUUAUCCACUGACAAUUUCCUCCAACCCAAUAAGGCUUCCCUGGACCCGUUUUCUUCAGAGCUAAUGGUAGGGGUCAUUCUGAGAAGGUGUUGACUCUCAAGUAUUGGUCCAAUGUUGAAUAUACUCUGAACAAAACUAACCUAUUUUUAGUUUCUAAAAUGCUACUCAACUCCCAGUCUGUAUACAAGAAAAAUUCAAACAUGCACUACCACAUUACCAUGUAAGGGUUUAGUAUCUGUUUUUCUUUCUGAUAAAAGUAAUCUCAAGUACUAUCAGUUGAACUGGAUCACUUGCAUGAGGUUGGUCAGUGGUCGAUUUAACAACCUGCAUGAGAUUUACCUGCAGACUUUAUGUGAAAUUCCCCUCUUUUAAAGCCAUGGUUUAAAGGGAGUAGAAAUGAAUACUUAUAGUAAGAAAAAUGUACCACAAAUCCAGGAUAAAAUAUCUUCCCUGUAGUUUUUAACACAUUUAAAGCCAUACGAUUUUACGGACUUACUUCCAUAGCUGACAAUACUCUUAAACUAGAGAACAGAUAACCAAGUACACAGUGGGUAUAGACUUCAUUUGGAAAUUGAAUGUUAUUUACCUUAAAAAUGAUUGAGAAUGUGAAUCUGGGAUUCUGUUAAGAUCAUAGCUAACAAAAGGCACAAAGUAAAAAGGUAACUGAUAAGCAAAUGAUAUAUGAUUGAAUGGCUAGAUACAUGAAUAGAUUAAUGAAUAGAUAGAAAAACAGAUAGAUGGGUAAUACAGACAAAUGAAUUAAUAGAGACACAAAUGGAUAGACAAGUAGAUGACAGAUAAUAGAAAGAUAUUCAUCGAUCAAUACAUGGUUAGAAAAUGGAUAGCUAGAUGCACAUGGAUGAAUAGAUGACUGGGAAGCAGAAUAAAUAGUUGAUAUAUAAAUGAAUAUAGAGAGAU